rnacentral:snRNA from 1 species
AGCUUUGCGCAGUGGCAGUAUCGUAGCCAAUGAGGUUUAUCCGAGGCGUGAUUAUUGCUAAUUGAAAACUCACCUCGAAUUGG